UGAACGCUGGCGGCGUGCCUAAUACAUGCAAGUCGAGCGAACAGACGAGGAGCUUGCUCCUCUGACGUUAGCGGCGGACGGGUGAGUAACACGUGGAUAACCUACCUAUAAGACUGGGAUAACUUCGGGAAACCGGAGCUAAUACCGGAUAAUAUAUUGAACCGCAUGGUUCAAUAGUGAAAGACGGUUUUGCUGUCACUUAUAGAUGGAUCCGCGCCGCAUUAGCUAGUUGGUAAGGUAACGGCUUACCAAGGCAACGAUCCGUAGCCGACCUGAGAGGGUGAUCGGCCACACUGGAACUGAGACACGGUCCAGACUCCUACGGGAGGCAGCAGUAGGGAAUCUUCCGCAAUGGGCGAAAGCCUGACGGAGCAACGCCGCGUGAGUGAUGAAGGUCUUCGGAUCGUAAAACUCUGUUAUUAGGGAAGAACAAAUGUGUAAGUAACUAUGCACGUCUUGACGGUACCUAAUCAGAAAGCCACGGCUAACUACGUG
rnacentral:rRNA from 1 species